rnacentral:lncRNA from 1 species
CUGUUUUCGUUGGACCUUGCCGCCGCCAUGAUGAAAUUGUGCUGUGCAGGAGGAAGACCAUCGACGAUUCGAGGAGCUGCUGCAGAAGAUGAUGGAUGAAGAGGAGGAACAGACGGGCGGCGGCGGCGGAAACAAGGAGCUACCGAUAGGAAUCAAGGACUGGUGGGCUUGAAACCACUCACCUCCGCUUUGUCUUCUUUUCUAAAGACAAUCAAGCAAAGCAUUUAGGAUGUUGACUUUGUGGCUGCAUGAACAGUGAACAUGAUUCCAUCCUUUUUCUUGAGACUCCCUUUACUCCACCAAGCCAAAAAAGUGAAGAGACGAUCGAAAGAUACAUAUCAUCAUCUGGUUUCCGACUCUACUAAUUCUUAG